rnacentral:rRNA from 1 species
UACAGAGGUCUCAAGCGUUGUUCGGAUUCAUCGGGCGUAAAGGGUGCGUAGGUGGCGCGCUAAGUCAGGUGUGAAAUUUCGGAGCUUAACUCCGAAACUGCAUUUGAUACUGGCGUGCUUGAGGACUGGAGAGGAGACUGGAAUUCAUGGUGUAGCAGUGAAAUGCGUAGAGAUCAUGAGGAAGACCAGUGGCGAAGGCGGGUCUCUGGACAGUUCCUGACACUGAGGCACGAAGGCCAGGGGAGCAAACGGG